CACGUAGGUGGCAAGCGUUAUCCGGAAUUAUUGGGCGUAAAGAGCGCGCAGGUGGUUAAUUAAGUCUGAUGUGAAGGCCCACGGCUUAACCGUGGAGGGUCAUUGGAAACUGGUUGACUUGAGUGCAGAAGAGGGAAGUGGAAUUCCAUGUGUAGCGGUGAAAUGCGUAGAGAUAUGGAGGAACACCAGUGGCGAAGGCGGCUCUCUGGCCUGUAACUGACACUGAGGCUCGAAAGCGUGGGGAGCAAACAGG
rnacentral:rRNA from 1 species